rnacentral:lncRNA from 10 species
AGGACCUGGAAGGAGAGCAAACAAAAUGAGUUUUUCAAAAAGCUAGAUGACAGUGGAACCAUGCAGAGAUCAAAAACGGUGCAACAGGAAACUAGGAAAGCAGAAAACAGAAAUAGUGUAAUUUUGUAACAUUAACAGGGUCUCCAGAAGCUGUGAGUGGGAUGAGACACUACCACUUCCAACAGUGCGAUGGGCUCUGUGAUCUGGCACACCGGACCUCUCAUGAGCCCUUAAAACAGAGAACUUUUGCUGGCAGCAGGAACGGCCAGUCAGAGGGAUUCCAAACCUGAAAAGGUUUUGUUCAGCCCCUGGUGACUUGAAAGUUGAGGCAGCCAGGUGAUGAGGAAGGCAGCGGCCUUCAGGAUCUGGGAGCAGAGCAGCCCCCAGCUGACAGCCAGCAGGGGAACAGGGAGCAGACCUCAGUCCUACAACCACAAGCAACUGGAUCCUGCCAACCUGAAGGAAGCUGGAGAUGGAUUCCUGCCCAGAUUCUCCAGGUGUGGUGACUCCUGGAGACUUCUCAGCCAUGCAGUGUGGGUGGACUGGCCUCUGAGUUCCUCUAAGCUUCCUUGCCUUUAUCUGCAAACAUCCUGGGAUCCCACAGUCUGGUUUCUCCUACAGCCUAUUGAGGAAGGAGGUAGGUACCCUCUAGGGGUGGGACUAUGGGCACUCCCCUCCUCUCAAAACCUGGUUCCUCUCCACAUAAGGGAAGGGAACAUACAUCCCUCACCAUUGGUGCUCCAAUGAGACCACCAUAACCAUAGGGUUGGAAACCCACCAUCCAGUGCAGAGAUUUUCUUUCCAGUUCCUGCUUCAGGCCUUCAAUCCUGCUGUCUCAAAUAUGCUCAUGGGGCAUUGGCCCAACUCUUUCCUGAGAAGGCUGAGUGGCUACGGCCGCCCUCGCCUAGACAUCAGCUCCACAGUCAUUUCAUCAGUCUGGGAUGGGGUUUCCUCAUGUGUCAGGUAAGGAACCUGAGGCUCAGACAAGCAGAGAGCUGUCUCCAAGGCCAGAGCUGGGCAGUGGAAAACCCAGGGCUCAAGUUACACACCAUGCAGAGCCUUGUCUUCUUUAACCUGCCACCUCUGCUGACCCUCAUCAAUGUCAAUGCCUCCCAGAAACACAUUUACAGUCUAAGCAACAGGAUCUUCUCAAACCUGUUUUUCCCACCCCAUGGAGAAGGGCAACAGCAUUGGGGGCCAGCCCAAGGAGGGCACCAUGUGGACGAUGAAGCCAGCCCAAGGCAGGCAGCUCUAGAGCACCCUGCCUUCCUGUCCUGGCACCAAGCACUCAGUCAUCUUCGAUGGUGAGCU